rnacentral:rRNA from 1 species
GACGGAAGGUGCAAGCGUUGCUCGGAAUCACUGGGCGUAAAGGGUGCGUAGGCGGCCGUGCAAGUCUGGCGUGAAAAGCCCGGGCUCAGCCCGGGAAGUGCGCUCGAAACUGCGCGGCUCGAGUGCCCGGAGGGGAGAGUGGAAUUCCCGGUGUAGCGGUGAAAUGCGCAGAUAUCGGGAAGAACACCCGUGGCGAAGGCGGCUCUCUGGGACGGUACUGACGCUGAGACGCGAAAGCGUGGGGAGCGAACAGG